AGCUCUGUGCAGUGGCAGUAUUGUAGCCAAUGAGGUUUAUCCAAGGUGCGAUCAUUGCUAAUUGAAAAUGAACA
rnacentral:snRNA from 1 species